rnacentral:rRNA from 1 species
UACGAAGGGGGCUAGCGUUGCUCGGAAUUACUGGGCGUAAAGGGAGCGUAGGCGGAUAGUUUAGUCAGAGGUGAAAGCCCAGGGCUCAACCUUGGAAUUGCCCUUUGAUACUGGCUAUCUUGAGUAUGGAAGAGGUAAUGUGGAACUCCGAGUGUAGAGGUGAAAUUCGUAGAUAUUCGGAAGAACACCAGUGGCGGAAGGGCGAACAUACUGGUCCAUUUACUGGACGCUGAGGCUCGGAAAAGCGUGGGGAGCAAACAGGGAUUAAGAAA